GAUGAACGCUAGCGGCAGGCUUAACACAUGCAAGUCGAGGGGUAUAGGUUUUCGGACCUAGAGACCGGCGCACGGGUGCGUAACGCGUAUGCAAUCUACCUUUCACAGAGGGAUAGCCCAGAGAAAUUUGGAUUAAUACCUCAUAGUAUAGCAGUUUCGCAUGAAACCACUAUUAAAUUAUCAACGGUGAAAGAUGAGCAUGCGUCCCAUUAGCUAGAUGGUAAGGUAACGGCUUACCAUGGCUACGAUGGGUAGGGGUCCUGAGAGGGAGAUCCCCCACACUGGUACUGGGACACGGACCGGACUCCUACGGGAGGCAGCAGUGAGGAAUAUUGGUCAAUGGACGCAAGUCUGAACCAGCCAUGCCGCGUGCAGGAUGACGGUCCUAUGGAUUGUAAACUGCUUUUGUACGAGAAGAAACAACAUUACGUGUAAUGUCUUGACGGUAUCGUAAGAAUAAGGAUCGGCUAACUCCGUGCCAGCCGCCGCCGUAAAAC
rnacentral:rRNA from 1 species